rnacentral:rRNA from 1 species
UAAUUGGAGAGUUUGAUCCUGGCUCAGAACGAACGCUGGCGGCGUGCCUAACACAUGCAAGUCGAGGGAGAAAGCCCGCAAGGGUUAGUAAACCGGCGAACGGGUGCGUAACACGUGGAUAAUCUACCUCGGUGACUGGGAUAACUGGCCGAAAGGCUUGCUAAUACCAGAUAAGCCCACGGGGUCUUUGGACCCUGAGGGAAAAGGUGGCCUCUGCAUGCAAGCUAUCACAUCGAGAUGAGUCCGCGGCCCAUCAGCUAGUUGGCGGGGUAAAGGCCCACCAAGGCUACGACGGGUAGCUGGUCUGAGAGGAUGAUCAGCCACACUGGAACUGAGACACGGUCCAGACUCCUACGGGAGGCAGCAGUGGGGAAUCUUGCGCAAUGGGCGAAAGCCUGACGCAGCAACGCCGCGUGUGUGAUGAAGGUCUUCGGAUCGUAAAGCACUGUCGCGAGGGAAGAUACGCCCAUGGCCAACAUCCAUGGGCUGAGACGGUACCUCGAGAGGAAGCACCGGCUAACUCUGUGCCAGCAGCCGCGGUAAUACAGAGGGUGCGAGCGUUGUUCGGAAUUAUUGGGCGUAAAGCGCUUGUAGGCGGCCUGUUAAGUCGCGUGUGAAAUCCCCUGGCUUAACCAGGGAAGUGCGCGCGAAACUGGCGGGCUUGAGUGCCGGAGAGGGUCGCGGAAUU